AUGGAGCCAUUGGGUGCAGUCACUAUAGCAACCAGGCUCACACCUGCCUGCCUAAUGAGCUCUCUCUCUCUCACUGUGCCAAGAUUCAUCUUAAACACUUCUCUUUCAACUGCUGCUGUGUCCACAGUGUUUGCUCUACAGCCAUCAUUUUACCCUCAAAACGUCGCCAUCGUUCUUCUCUUUCCAACACUGUCUUUCAAAGCUCAGAUAUGUAAAGUUUUUAAACUGUGUGGAUCCAAGUGGAGGGAUCACAUUUUAGUCAUUCAGUGAUUCAAAGAAUAUGAACUUUUAAUAUUCAUUCAGAUGUUUUCUGACUCUAAAUAGUCUUUUGUCAUUUCUUAUGUUUUUCUAAUUUACAUUUAAAACAUUUUCAGCUCUUUUCCAACUUCUUCUCUGUGGUUGUCAGCUUUUAGCAGUUCAGCUUUUUUGUUUUCAGGUACAAAUUUCUGUAUUUUUCAUCUCAUUCAACAUUUUUAACUUAAAAUUCAGCAAUUAAUUCAUUUCAGUGCAUACAUUCAGAUUCAAGCAUUCACACUGCAGUUUCUUCAGAAAAUGCAUUUUCUAGUUAUUAGUGUGAAUGCUUGUAAAAGCAUUCACAGUAUUGUUCUUCUAAUCUUUAUUAUUAUUGUGUGGAUGCCCUCAAAGGGCUUCCACACUAUUGAGUUCCUGUUUCUCUUUAUUCUUUAUCUUUAUACUUUAUUAUUCUUCUAGUUGCUCCAUUCUUCGCCGUUUAACUACUCCGUCAGUUUUCAGCCGAUUUUCUCCGUUCAAACUCUAAACUGUUCUGCUCUUUCUGCUAAUGACUGCUAUGACUUUUGGUGUUUAUUACUCUUAUACUUUUUAAAAUAUUACACUUUUUUCCUUUAAUUUGUCCUAUUGAAAUGAAUGGGAAACUUCCACAAUUCUGCUAAAACUUGCUUGUUUUUGAAACUUAACUACAUCCUCAUACUUUCACCUAGAAACUCCAUUCAAACUUUAAAAUGUUCUCAGAUUAUUGGGCUAUUCCUGAGUGAUUCAGCUUUUUCAGAUCUUCUACCGUUUUAAUUUUAUACCUCUUUAAGUUUUCAGUUGCAAAAUUGUGAUUUUUCAGAAAAUACAUGCGUUGUUAUGGUUGCUAUGCAAUUAACUCAGAGUGAGGGCUGGUCUGUUCUGAAUUUUCUCUUCAUGUCUGAACAACUUCUUGCAACUCGCUCAAUUUCCACUCAAUCCCCACAAAUUAUACAUCAAAACGUAGAUAUUUUUGCUGGCUUUCAGAAAAUGUCACUAUCAUUGUUGUGGGCGUUACAGAAUUUUGGCAAAUCUCCUCAGAGCAACACAAAGUCUGAAAACUCUCCAUAGAGAGUCAAUGGAGAGUUUGUUUAAAAUCAGCGCUGGAAUUCUCUAAUGAGAGGCAUUUUCGAAUCGUCAUAUCUCUUUAACCAAACAAAGUUGAGACAUGACGCUUGUGCCAAUAUAUCUUCAGACACCCCUGAUGCUCACAAUUCAAGAAUUUUUUUCUCACCUAUUACCGUUUGGCCAUCAAUUACAUUUGUUUGAGGGUAGGAAAUUGGUGCCUUGCUCCGAUCUCUUCAGAUUUCAAACUCUGGAAAUUAGGCACUUUUUCUCUCAUCAUAUCUUUUUGAUGGAUUUCCACAGAGACCUGAAAAUUCCCAUGACUGUUCACCAAAGCCUGCUGUUUCUUACGGUGAAAAAAUGAUUUUGAUGCUCCAUAUAGAUUUAGAGUUACAAAACGUUGUUUGAGGGCAAGUCAAGGCAGUUUUGCUUUGCCUCUACUCAGUUACAGUGUGUUACAAGUCAUAUAUCUUCAAUAAUUUAUAUUUUAUCUCUGAAUUAUGAAGACCUGCAGAUUCCCCCAUCUCUUCUGAACAAAACGGUGUCAGAAUGACCGUUCUAGCUCCUAUGGUUAGGAAAUUAUGGCCAUUUGUUCGAGGGGAAUCCUGAAUGUGCGAAAUACACUGAAGAAAACCCAUACCUCUCUCUGUGUCUGUGUGUGUAAGUGCUGAUUACAGCAGGUGCAGCCAAUUUAGCUGACCUAGAUAUACCAAGCCCAGACUCUUAACAGCCCCUGUACACUUUGCUCUCUGUGUAUGUGUGUGUGAGUAUCAAUAUUUCUCCCAUGUUAAAGUAUUACUCCUCCAUAAUAGUAUUUGUGCUAAAUCAAAGUACUUCUACUACAUCUUAGUACUUCUGCUCAAUCAUAGUAUUUCUGCUAAAUCAUAGUAUUUUUGAAAAAUCAUGGUGUUUGUGCCAAAUCAUGGUUUUGGGGCAAAACCAUAAUAUUUAUUUUAUGUUAUACUAUUACUACUAAGUGGAGGAAUGUGUGUUAUGUUAUAGUAUAUUUGCUGAAUAUAGUGUAUCUGCCAAAUCAUAGUAUUUAUCCCAAAUCAUAGUAUUUCUGCCAUAUCAUCGUAUUUGUGCCAAAUCAUGGUAUUUUUUUGCCCAAAUCAUGAUAUUUGUGCCAAAUCAUGUUAUUUUUGUCCAAUUAAAAUUUCUCUUAUGUUAUAGUAUUACUACUAAGUCGUAGAAUUUUUGUUAUGUUACACUAUAUCUGCUGAUUAUAGUAUAUGUGCCAAAUCAUAGUAUUUAUAGCAAAUCAUAGUAUU
rnacentral:lncRNA from 1 species